rnacentral:rRNA from 1 species
ACGGGUGAGUAAUACCUAGGAAUCUGCCUGGUAGUGGGGGAUAACGUUCGGAAACGGACGCUAAUACCGCAUACGUCCUACGGGAGAAAGCAGGGGACCUUCGGGCCUUGCGCUAUCAGAUGAGCCUAGGUCGGAUUAGCUAGUUGGUGAGGUAAUGGCUCACCAAGGCUACGAUCCGUAACUGGUCUGAGAGGAUGAUCAGUCACACUGGAACUGAGACACGGUCCAGACUCC